AUGUCCGGAAUUGUCAACAAGGAGUUUCCUGAGUUGGCCCAGACAGGGUUGAACUACCUGUCAUGGUCCUCGAACUGCGAGAUCUUUCUCUAGGGAAAAACCCUCCUGAGGGCGGUCGAUAAGGGGGCCCAGCUGGCCUCCACUGAUCCCAAGUUCAAAACUGAGAAUGCGCUGGCUCUGCACUUUCUCCGUCAUCACCUGUCACCUACUCUGAAAGAUGAGUAUAUGGUUGAGCGCGGUGCUUCUGCCCUUUGGACCGCUCUUAAGCAGCGGUUUGAGCGGCUGAAGUACACUGUGAAGCCACGUGCAGAGGCAGAGUGGAUCCGUCUGAGCCAGAAGAUUGAGAAAACCCCAUCCACUUUCCACCCCGACGCGGUCCAGUCCUCAUGGAACUACCGCCAGGGGAACUACAUGAGGUAUUCAGAGUUGAUUGACAUCCUCCAGGUGGCGUAGGCGCAGGACAAGGUUCUCAAAAAGAACUUUGUCGCGCAACCACUUGGGGAAGUUCUCGCCAGGAGGUGAACGCUCUCAAAGUCCGCAAGCCUCAACAGAAGAAGAGGGGCCGCAAGGGCAAGAANNNNNNNNNNNNNNNNNNNNUGUGGCUCGGUGGAGCAUUUCUCCCGCCAGUGCCGCGCACCACAGGAGGUCGUUGAUGCAUAUAAGGCUCGGAAGACGCGUGAGAUGCACCUCGCCUUCGUUUAG
rnacentral:rRNA from 1 species